rnacentral:lncRNA from 1 species
UGAGGUUUCCAUUUCACACAUUUUUAAAUCACUAUUUCAAACAAAACAGAACAAACAUAAUUUGUCAAAUAACAGUAAAUCUGUUCCGAUGUCACAAUCUAUUACAAUCAAGCGGAAUAAACAAAUCUCUGGCAAGUGAAUACAAAUAACAGUAAAUCCGUUCCAAUGUCACAAUCUCUACAGUAUCACAAUGCAUCACAGCUUUGCACUUGGCUUCAUGGAUUUGCACUUCAAAUUUGUCAUGGCUCUCCUGUAAAAGAGUGAACACAAAGGCUACCAGCAUUAGUGUACUGCUGCUGAGGGCAGAACCAAACAAUUGCAAUGGCAACACUAAUGUAAACAACAAAGUAGAUCUACCCACUCAUACGUUCCAGCCUCACCUUUCCCUUCCUGAAUUUGGACACUAUCAUGCAAUACAAUUGCAGCAGUUAAAUGUUUGUGUGUGUGUGUACAUCAUCAGUGUGUGUGUGUGUGUGUGCCGUGGUUACCUACAUAUCCUACUAAGCGAAGCCAGCAGUCAGGUUGUUGGUCUUGUACUUGUCGAACUAACAAUCUAUGGAUUUUGCAGUCUAAAUGAGACCAGUAUAAACUAAUUGCACACAAUUGCAGCAGCGCCAGUGAGACCAAGAAGGAAAACAAGCAGAUCAGAUGGGAGGGGGUGGUUACCAUCCUGGCGCGCUCGCCCUUAUCCUGGAUGGCAUCAUCCUUGAGCACCCUCUCCAUCUGCCCAACCACAAAGACGGAGAGAAAAAAUGUCAGGAACGCAUCGCGUUGAUCCAGCCAUGGAGAAGAGAACAGAAAGAAAGAAAGAAAUAAAAAUCACUAGUAUUAUGUCUGAAAAAUCACUAGCUAGCAUGCUGCAUUACUAGUUUGCCAAUUAUCCACGCCACAGAAACAACGUGAAUCGAACCACAACAACAUAUCAAAUCCGGGGCUCACAUGAGGACUAAGACGGCGCUCAGGGGGCGCUUGGGCUUGUUGGAGUCUUUCUUGGCCUUGCUCUUCUUCACCACAACUCUGUAUCACCAUAGAAACAAUAGCAACAAAUAUCAACCAAUGCACAUACUUUUAUUACCAGGCAGAGAGAUAGCUCAAAACAGAACAUAUAUAAUUUGAAAGAAGUAAAUCACCCAUAAUUAACAGGGAGAGGUAUAACCAAAACAAGUUCAUUUGUCUUCCAAGUAUAAAACAUCAAGUGCACAAACUCACAUCAGUUAACAUCAUUACAGAAUUUCAGAUAACACGUUUACCGCAGAAAUUCAGUUAACAUAUUCUGCGCACAUGUUCAGUUAACAGUUUAGGUGCUCUAAUUCAGUUAAAACUGUAGCAUAUAACAAAUUCAGUUAAGUAAUCCGAAUAGCUUGUGUUUAUUGCAUUUACUGAGAAAAACAUAUACAAUGCCAUUUUAAGUUGUGUGUAAACAUGACUAAGCUUGACAGAUACAGGGAAGAAAAAAAUUGAAUAAGAUAGCAGGCAAUGUAGGACAUCGAGGAUUCGACCAGCCUCUACUCAUCGGCACCUGUAAACACCAAGAAAAAGAACAAAGGUUUGAAUCAAACAAUAGUUGUAAAUUCGGUUAGCAUGACUACAAAUUAUCAGUAACCAAAGUACUCAUCUUCCUUCCAGGUUUUGAAUAGCCUAACAAAUUAUCAGCUCCAUUUUUCUUCCCAACCCACGAAAAUCAGUAUUGAAUAGCCCAACAAAUAACACACCAGUCCCCAAACCAGCAAAGAGCAUGGGAAUAAACAGACCAACCCCCACAUUCCAAUAAUUCAAACACUCAGCAGUC